AUAAGCAAAGCCAGAUGGUAAAAUGUCUCCUUUCUCAACCAUAUUCGAUUUCAAAAAGCAUGCUAUCGGUCCGGAUGUCGUGUGAGCGAGAGAAGAAGAUGUCCAUUACACAUUCCAAAUGACGUUUUGCAUAAGUUU
ensembl:ncRNA ZK563.9 ncRNA